GCCAAAAUAAAUAAACGUUUUGUUUUAUUACGCCAGAAGACUCGAUUCGUCAUCCCUUCAUUCAGCUUCACCUACUU